AAAUUAAGACAAAUAAAAGAAAAGAAAGAAGGAGGAAAGAAAAAAAAAAACUUCAGGUAAAUAAAAUUGGUUGGUGUGUGGGUGGUACCUUUGUGUUUUAAUGGUGUGUUUUGUGUGUGGUUUUAUU
rnacentral:ribozyme from 1 species